AGCCCAACAGCUAGCUCAACCCCUAAAAUACAACAGAUCACUAUACAUAAACCCUAAUAACUUAACAUACCCAAGACCAAAUCAUUUUUCCACCCAAGUAUGGGCGACAGAAAAGGACACACCGAAGCAAUAGCAACAGUACCGCAAGGGAACGCUGAAAGAGAAAUGAAACAAAUCAGUAAAGCACAAAAAAGCAGAGCUUAAUUCUCGUACCUUUUGCAUCAUGAUUUAGCAAGAAAACAUCAAGCGAAGAGCACUUUAGUUUGACUCCCCGAAACCAAGUGAGCUACUCCAAGACAGCCUUAUAGGGCGAACCCGUCUCUGUGGCAAAAGAGUGGGAAGAGCUUUGAGUAGAGGUGACAGACCUACCGAACUUGGUUAUAGCUGGUUGUCCAAGAAUUGAACAGGAGUUCAGCCUUUUGCCCUCUUCUCCCACAACCGGCUACAUUCUCAAGCCCCCAAGAGGACAAAAGAGUUAGUCAAAGGGGGUACAGCCCCUUUGAAAAAGAUACAACUUUCCCAGAAGGGUUAAGAUCAUAACAUUUAUUAAGGGGCCGUGUUCUAGUUGGCCUAAAAGCAGCCACCCACACAGAAAGCGUUAAAGCUCAUACACCCCCUCUCCCUAUUAUUCGGACCACCCCAUCUUACCCCCCUACAUGUAUUGGACCUUCCCAUACCCCUAUGGAAGAGAUUAUGCUAAUAUGAGUAAUAAGAGACCCAGACUCUCUCCGCGCACAAGUGUAUAUCGGAACGAACCCACACCGAAAAUUAACGACCCCAAAGAAGAGGGAAUUGUAACAUAAUGGCCAAGCCACUAGAAAAGCAUCCACACCUCAACCGUUAACCUUACACCAGAGUGCAUGCAAGGAAAGACUAAAAGGAAGAGAAGGAACUCGGCA
rnacentral:rRNA from 1 species